CUCGAUGUCGGCUCUUCCCAUCCUGGUUCUGCAGCAGGAGCCAAGGGUGGGGCUGCUCGCCCAUUAAAGGGGAACGUGAGCUGGGUUUAGACCGUCGUGAGACAGGUCGGUCUCUGCCUGACAGGGGUGUAGUUGUUUGAGGGGAAGUUGCCCAUAGUACGAGAGGAACAGGGCAGCGCAGCCUCUGGUUUAUCAGUUGUCCGACAGGGCAGGCUGAGCCGCUAAGCUGUUUAGGAUAACUCCUGAAAGCAUCUAAGGAGGAAACCUUUCCCGAGAAAAGACAGCCUUCUUUACAGAGAAGGGCAGCUAUAGAAGAUAGCAUUGAUAGAAUGGAGGUGUAAGCAUCGAGCUUUUUGCGAGAUGUUCAGCCUGCCGUUACUAAUAGCCCAACGCACCUGAUUA
rnacentral:rRNA from 1 species